rnacentral:rRNA from 1 species
UAUUUGCCUGAGAACUACUGGCCACAGCUUAAAACUCAAAGGACUUGGCGGUACUUUAUAUCCAUCUAGAGGAGCCUGUUCUAUAAUCGAUAAACCCCGCUAUACCUCACCACCCCUUGCUAAUACAGCCUAUAUACCGCCAUCUUCAGCAAACCCUAAAAAGGAGCAAAAGUAAGCAAGAGAAUCACCAUAAAAACGUUAGGUCAAGGUGUAGCCGAUGAGGUGGGAAGCAAUGGGCUACAUUUUCUUACAAAGAACAUUACGCUACCCUUUAUGAAACUAAAGGACAAAGGAGGAUUUAGUAGUAAAUUAAGAAUAGAGAGCUUAAUUGAAUAGAGCAAUGAAGUACGUACACACCGCCCG